rnacentral:rRNA from 1 species
CCGGCACGGGGAGGUAGUGACGAAAAAUAACGAUACGGGACUCAUCCGAGGCCCCGUAAUCGGAAUGAGUACACUUUAAAUCCUUUAACGAGGACCAAUUGGAGGGCAAGUCUGGUGCCAGCAGCCGCGGUAAUUCCAGCUCCAAUAGCGUAUAUUAAAGUUGUUGCGGUUAAAAAGCUCGUAGUUGAAUCUGUGUGUCACAGUGUCGGUUCACCGCUCGCGGUGUUUAACUGGCAUUAUGUGGUACGUCCUAUCGGUGGGCUUAGCUCCUUGCGGGCGGUCCAACUAAUAUCCCAUCGCGGUGCUCUUCACUGAGUGUCGAGGUGGGCCGAUACGUUUACUUUGAAAAAAUUAGAGUGCUUAAAGCAGGCUACCUUUGCCUGAAUACUGUGUGCAUGGAAUAAUGGAAUAGGACCUCGGUUCUAUUUUGUUGGUUUUCGGAACCCCGAGGUAAUGAUUAAUAGGGACAGAUGGGGGCAUUCGUAUUGCGACGUUAGAGGUGAAAUUCUUGGAUCGUCGCAAGACGGACAGAAGCGAAAGCAUUUGCCAAAAAUGUUUUCAUUAAUCAAGAACGAAAGUUAGAGGUUCGAAGGCGAUCAGAUACCGCCCUAGUUCUAACCAUAAACGAUGCCAGCCAGCGAUCCGCCGAAGUUCCUCCGAUGACUCGGCGGGCAGCUUCCGGGAAACCAAAGCUUUUGGGUUCCGGGGGAAGUAUGGUUGCAAAGCUGAAACUUAAAGGAAUUGACGGAAGGGCACCACCAGGAGUGGGGCCUGCGGCUWAAUUDGACUCAACA